rnacentral:rRNA from 1 species
GGGCCCGCACAAGCGGUGGAGCAUGGGGUUUAAUUCGAAGCAACGCGAAGAACCUUACCAGUCCUUGACAUGGGUAGUUUGGUUAUUGGAGACAAUUUCCUUCAGUUCGGCUGGCUACCACACAGGUGCUGCACGGCUGUCGUCAGCUCGUGUCGUGAGAUGUUGGGUUAAGUCCCGCAACGAGCGCAACCCUCAUCUUUAGUUGCCAUCGGUUCGGCCGGGCACUCUAAAGAAACUGCCUGCGAUGAGCAGGAGGAAGGCGGGGACGACGUCAAGUCAUCAUGGCCCUUAUGGACUGGGCUACACACGUGCUACAAUGGCGGUGACAACAGGCAGCGAAGGGGUGACCUGGAGCAAAUCCUAAAAAGCCGUCCCAGUUCGGAUUGUACUCUGCAACUCGAGUACAUGAAGUUGGAAUCGCUAGUAAUCGCGGAUCAGCAUGCCGCGGUGAAUACGUUCCCGGGCCUUGUACACACCGCCCGUCACACCA